GUGAGGAAUAUUGGUCAAUGGGCGGAAGCCUGAACCAGCCAAGUCGCGUGAGGGAAGAAGGCCCUGCGGGUCGCAGACCUCUUUGGACGGGGAGCAAGGCCGCCGACGUGUCGGCGGAAGGAGAGUACCCGUAGAACAAGCAUCGGCUAACUCCGUGCCAGCAGCCGCGGUAAUACGGAGGAUGCGAGCGUUAUCCGGAUUUAUUGGGUUUAAAGGGUGCGCAGGCGGCACGGCAAGCCGGCGGUCAAAUCGCGGGGCUCAACCCCGCCCAGCCGUCGGAACUGCCGGGCUAGAGUGGGCGAGAAGUGCGCGGAAUGCGUGGUGUAGCGGUGAAAUGCAUAGAUAUCACGCAGAACUCCGAUUGCGAAGGCAGCGCACCGGCGCCCUACUGACGCUCAGGCACGAAAGCGUGGGUAUCGAACAGGAUUAGAAACCCGGGUAGUCC
rnacentral:rRNA from 1 species